rnacentral:rRNA from 1 species
AAAAAAGCGAGUUUGAUCAUGGCUCAGAACGAACGCUGGCGGCGUGCCUAACACAUGCAAGUCGAACGGAGUGAAGGAGCUUGCUCUUUCAUUUAGUGGCGCACGGGUGAGUAACGCGUAGAUAAUCUGCCUUGGACUCUGGGAUAACAUCUCGAAAGGGUGCUAAUACCGGAUAAGCCCACGAUGGCGUAAGUCAUUGCGGGAAAAGGGGGCCUCUGAAUAUGCUCCUGAUUCAAGAUGAGUCUGCGUACCAUUAGCUAGUUGGUAGGGUAAGAGCCUACCAAGGCGACGAUGGUUAGCUGGUCUGAGAGGAUGAUCAGCCACACUGGAACUGAGACACGGUCCAGACUCCUACGGGAGCAGCAGUGGGAAUUUUGCGCAAUGGGGGAAACCCUGACGCAGCAACGCCGCGUGAGUGAUGAAGGCUUUCGGGUCGUAAAGCUCUGUCUA